rnacentral:rRNA from 1 species
GAUGAACGCUGGCGGCGUGCCUAACACAUGCAAGUCGAGCGAUUCUCUUCGGAGAAGAGCGGCGGACGGGUGAGUAACGCGUGGGUAACCUGCCCUGUACACACGGAUAACAUACCGAAAGGUAUGCUAAUACGGGAUAACAUAUUUUAGUCGCAUGGCUGAAAUAUCAAAGCUCCGGCGGUACAGGAUGGACCCGCGUCUGAUUAGCUAGUUGGUGAGGUAAUGGCUCACCAAGGCGACGAUCAGUAGCCGACCUGAGAGGGUGAUCGGCCACACUGGAACUGAGACACGGUCCAGACUCCUACGGGAGGCAGCAGUGGGGAAUAUUGCACAAUGGGCGAAAGCCUGAUGCAGCAACGCCGCGUGAGCGAUGAAGGCCUUCGGGUCGUAAAGCUCUGUCCUCAAGGAAGAUAAUGACGGUACUUGAGGAGGAAGCCCCGGCUAACUACGUG